rnacentral:rRNA from 1 species
AUCUUAGCGAUUGAUCUAGUUACUUAGUAAGAUGAGUUAUCCACAAAAAAUAAAAAAAAAUUAUUUAAAUAAUUUAGUAAUAUUUAAAAUAAUAAAAUGAAAAGGAUAAUAGUGAAAAAAAUAAAAUCUUAAUUAUAGAUUAAAUAAUGAUAUGAUCUAUAAUGAUAGUCUUAACCAAAAGUAGUGCCAGCAGUUGCGGUUAUACUACGAAGGCUAACGUUAAUCAUUAAGGCUUAAAGGAUCCGUAGAAUGAUUUAUAAAAAAUUAGAGUUUAUGUUGAGAUUAAAGAAUAAUUAUAGUAAAGAUGAAAUAAUAAUGAUAAUAAUUAGACUGCUUCAGGUGAAGACAUUAAUCAAGAAAUAAACUGACAUUGAGGGAUGAAAGCAUAAGUAGCAAAACGGAUUAGAUACCCGAUUAGUUUAUGCAGUAAACGAUGAAUACUGUUAGGCUAUUUAAUAAUAAUUUAAUAGUCUAAUAAGCGAAAGCAUAAGUAUUCCGCCCGGUGUGUACGUUCGCAAGAAUGAAAGCCAAGACAAUAGACGGUUACAGAUUAAGG